rnacentral:rRNA from 1 species
GAUGAACGCUAGCUACAGGCUUAACACAUGCAAGUCGAGGGGAAACGACAUCGAAAGCUUGCUUUUGAUGGGCGUCGACCGGCGCACGGGUGAGUAACGCGUAUCCAACCUGCCCACCACUUGGGGAUAACCUUGCGAAAGUAAGACUAAUACCCAAUGAUAUCUCUAGAAGACAUCUGAAAGAGAUUAAAGAUUUAUCGGUGAUGGAUGGGGAUGCGUCUGAUUAGGUUGUUGGCGGGGUAACGGCCCACCAAGCCUACGAUCAGUAGGGGUUCUGAGAGGAAGGUCCCCCCACAUUGGAACUGAGACACGGUCCAAACUCCUACGGGAGGCAGCAGUGAGGAAUAUUGGUCAAUGGACGGGAGUCUGAACCAGCCAAGUAGCGUGCAGGAUGACGGCCCUAUGGGUUGUAAACUGCUUUUGUGCGGGGAUAAAGUGUGGGACGUGUCCCAUAUUGCAGGUACCGCAUGAAUAAGGACCGGCUAAUUCCGUG